CACAGGAGAGCUUGCUCUCUGGGUGGCGAGUGGCGGACGGGUGAGGAAUACAUCGGAAUCUACUUUUUCGUGGGGGAUAACGUAGGGAAACUUACGCUAAUACCGCAUACGACCUACGGGUGAAAGCAGGGGAUCUUCGGACCUUGCGCGAUUGAAUGAGCCGAUGUCGGAUUAGCUAGUUGGCGGGGUAAAGGCCCACCAAGGCGACGAUCCGUAGCUGGUCUGAGAGGAUGAUCAGCCACACUGGAACUGAGACACGGUCCAGACUCCUACGGGAGGCAGCAGUGGGGAAUAUUGGACAAUGGGCGCAAGCCUGAUCCAGCCAUACCGCGUGGGUGAAGAAGGCCUUCGGGUUGUAAAGCCCUUUUGUUGGGAAAGAAAUCCAGCUGGCUAAUACCCGGUUGGGAUGACGGUACCCAAAGAAUAAGCACCGGCUAACUUCGUGCCAGCAGCCGCGGUAAUACGAAGGGUGCAAGCGUUACUCGGAAUUACUGGGCGUAAAGCGUGCGUAGGUGGUCGUUUAAGUCCGUUGUGAAAGCCCUGGGCUCAACCUGGGAACUGCAGUGGAUACUGGACGACUAGAGUGUGGUAGAGGGUAGCGGAAUUCCUGGUGUAGCAGUGAAAUGCGUAGAGAUCAGGAGGAACAUCCAUGGUGAAGGCAGCUACCUGGACCAACACUGACACUGAGGCACGAAAGCGUGGGGAGCAAACAGGAUUAGAUANCCUGGUAGUCCACGCCCUAAACGAUGCGAACUGGAUGUUGGGUGCAAUUUGGCACGCAGUAUCGAAGCUAACGCGUUAAGUU
rnacentral:rRNA from 1 species